AUAUAUAUAUAUAUAUAUAAUCCACACUAAUAAAUGUCUAUGAUGAAAAAUUGAUUAAUUGAUACCCACUAUUCAUUAGAACUUAAGGAUUUUACCCAAUGGUAAAUCAAUUAUUUUAUAGAUAGUGAAAAUUAUGAGGACGAUAGUAUUUUAUCAAGUAUAUAAUGGAAGUCCAAAGACAACAUGUAUAUUUUAUAUAAGUUAAUUAUUGUCCAAUUAAGUUUAAAAGCAUUUAAUUUAUGAUAGUAUAUUAUAGUAUCUACCCAAAUGAGAACUAUAACAUACUCUAAUUGUUUAAAUUGUCUGAAUCUAUUUUAAUUUAUGUAUAUAUUAUCUUACAGCUAUUACUCUUCAUUCGCAAGCUUCAUCUGUUAUUAUAUUCAAUGGGCUAAACUUCUCUUAAUAAUGUGAGCAAGUCAAGUUCUAUUUAGGCGUAUUGAACUUGACGUGGCAUUAUUGUAACACAAACCUACUGCUAUUACAGAUACAAGCAGUGAAGAAGAGAAGUUGUACCAUAAGCAAUGGGAACGGUCAAACAGAUUAAGCCUUAUAUUUCUGCAAAUGACUAUUGCUAAUAACAUAAAGACAACAAAUUCACAAACUGAAAAUGCAAAAGAAUACCUUAAUUUUGUGAAAGAAUGAUUUCGUUCUGCAGACAAGUCACUCGCUGGUACUCUAAUGGCACAACUCACGACCAUGAAGUAUAAUGGGUCGAAGAGUAUGCAUGAGUAAAUUAUAGGGAUGAGACACAUUGCAGCAAGGCUAAAGACCUUAGGGAUGGUGUUAGUGAUUCCUUCUUUCAUUCUGAACUCACUACCUCCUUAAUAUGGGUUAUUUCAAAUUAAUUACAAUACUAUUAAGGAUAAGUGGAAUAUUAAUGAAUUGGUCAGUAAGCUAGUUUAUGAGAAACCGAGACUAAAGAAUCAAGGGACUCAUUCUGUCAAACAUUAUGGGUCAAGGAGUUGGUAAAGAACUUAAACCAAAAGCCAAUAAGUUUAAGAAGAAAAAGAAAGGAUCUUCAAAUAGUUCUCAAGUUGAGAAAAAAGAACAAAUGGUAAAUAAGUAUCGCUUCUGUAAGAAAGUAGGACACUAUCAAAAAGAUUGCCUAGAACGUAGAGCUUGGUUCAGAAAGAUAGAUAAUCCUUUUGCUUAUGUAUAUUUCGAAUCAAACUUAAUUGAAGUUCCUAAAAAUACUUAGUGGCUUAAUUCUGGUGCUACUACUCAUGUAUUCAACGUAAUGCAGGGAUUUCUUAUGAUCCAAAACACAGACCUAACUAAAGACUUCUUAUUUAUGGGGAACUGAAUGAAGGCUCCAAUUGAACACAUAGAGACUUACCGUUUGAUAUUAGAUAGUGGUUACCACUUAGAUCUUUUACAAACUCUCUACGUACCUUCAGUUUCUAAGAAUGUUAUUUCUAUUUCAAAACUUGAUGAAUCUGGGUUUAAUGUUAAGUUUGGAUAUGAAUGUUUCAAUUUAUCUAAUAAUAAUAAUUACAUUAUUGGUUCUGGAAUUCUUACUAAUAGUUUAUAUAGGCUGAAACUUGAUGAUCAUUUUGUCAAAUCCUUGCUUGUCACUCAUAGCAAUGUUGGUGUUGGUAUUAAGCAUAGCAGACCGAAUGAAAAUUCUGCUUUCUUGUGGCAUAAGCGUUUGGGUCAUACAUCCAAAGAAAGAUUAGGAAGAAUGGUAAAGAAUGAGAUUCUACCGAUUCUAGAUUUUACUGAUCUUUUUGUGUGUAUGGAUUAUAUUAAGGGAAAGCAAACCAAACAUAAUAAGAAGGGAGCCACAAGAGGCAAUCAGCCUCUUGAAAUUAUACACACUGAUAUAUGUGAGCCUUUUGAUACUUCAUUUUUUGGUGGUGAAAAGUACUUUAUUACCUUUAUUGAUGAUUUUUCACAUUAGGGACAUAUCUAUUUGCUUAAUGAUAAAUCUCAAUUAAUAAAUACAUUUGAAGCGUACAUAAAUGAAGUUGAAAGGCAAUUAAAUAGAAGAGUGAAAAUAGUAAGGUCAAAUAGAGAUGAUGAAUACUAUAGAAAACACACUGAAAUGGAACAAUGUCUUUGUUAAUUUGCAGAGUUCUUAAAAAGUCGUGGCAUAUAUGCACAGUAUACUAUGCCAAGUACUCCUCAACAAAAUGGGGUAGCAAAAAGGCAAAAUCAAACUUUAAUGGAUAUGAUUAAGAGUACGAUGAAUAACUCUUCUUUACCUAUAUCUUUGUGGAUGUAUGCACUUAAAACCGCUGUAUACUUGUUAAAUAGGAUUCCUAGUAAGACAGUCACAAAAAUACCUUAUGAAUUGUAAACUGGAAGGAAACCUAGUAUAAGGCACCUGCAUGCUUGGGGUUGUCGAGCGGAAGCAAGAAUUUAUAAUUCACAUGAAAAGAAAUUAGAUUCUCGAACGAUAAAUGGAUACUUUAUUGGUAAUUCAGAGAAAUCCAAAGAGUAUAGGUUUGAUGUUCCAAACCACAGUCCGAGAAUUAUGAAAACCGGUAAUGCAAUAUACCUUGAAAAUAGUGAAGUUAGUGAGAGUAUUGAGAGACAAGAUGUAUAUAUAUACAAGAAAUUAAAGUUGAUUUUCAUAUACCUAUUAAUGUUCCGAUAUCCACUUUUACUCCACAUUUUGUUCCAGCAGUAGUUGAAGGACCUAACAAUGCUGCACAACGUAAUGAUGAAACACAUCCUAAACAAGCUAACCGACAAAGAGCUAAUAAAGGUGAACUACAAGAAAUACCAUUAAGAAGAUCUCAAAAAGAAAGGAGAUCAACAACUACUAAUGAUUAUGUGGUUUACUUAUAAGAAUUAGAUUUUGACAUAGGAAUUAAUAAAGAUCCAGUUUCUUUUUCACAAGCUAUAGAAAGUAAUGAGUCUGAUAAGUGAUUAGAUGCCAUGAAAGAUGAGUUAAAAUCCAUGGAACAAAAUAAAUUAUGGGAUCUUGUUGAAUUGCCUAAAUGAUCUAAAUGAGUUGGGUGUAAAUGGGUCUUUAAAACCAAACGCGACUUGAAUGGCAAAAUCCAACAAUAUAAAGCAAGACUUGUUGCUAAGGGUUAUACUAAAAAAGAUUGUGUUGACUAUAAAGAAAUGUUUUUACCAGUCUUAAAAAAAAGACUCAUUAAGAAUUAUUAUGGCAUUGAUAGCUCAUUAUGACUUAGAGUCGCACCAAAUUGAUGUGAAAAUAGCAUUUCUAAAUGGAGAACUUGAAGAAGAAGUUUAUAUGGACCACCCUGAAGGUUUCUCAGUUAAAGGAAAAGACCAUAUGGUGUAUAGACUUAAGAAAUCAAUAUAUGGACUUAAGCAAGCUUCCCGUCAAUGGUAUAUUAAAUUCAAUGAUACCAUAAAGUCUUUUCAUUUUAAGGAAAACGUCGUUGAUCGAUGUAUAUAUCAAAAGAUCAACAGGAGUAAGUUUAUUUUCUUAACUCUGUAUAUUAAUGAUAUCUUACUUGCUACAAAUGAUUUAGGCAUAUUACGUGAAAUUAAAAUCUCUCAAAAAAUUUUAAAAUGAAAGAUAUGGGAGAGGCAUUUUUUGUGAUUGGAAUAUAAAUUUUUUUGUAAUAGAUUACAAAGAUUGUUAGGAUUGUCUCAGAAAGCCUACUUUGAUAGAAUUUUAAAGAGAUUUAAUAUGCAUAAAUGUUCAGCAGGAAUUGUUUCCAUACAGAAAGGGGACAAAUUUAGUCUUAAUCAAUGUCCAAAUAAUGAUGUGGAACGCAAAGAAAUAGAAUCAAUUCCUUAUGCUUCAGUUGUGGAAAUUUUGAUCUAUGUCCAAACCUGCACAAGAACCGACAUUAGCUUUGCCGUUGGAAUGCUUGGCAGUUAUCAAAGCAAUCUCAGAAUUCAUCACUGGAAAGCUGCAAAAAAAGUUUUACGAUACUUUCAAAGAACUAAAUAUUACAUGUUUAUUUAUAGGAGAUCUAAUCAUUUAGAAGUGAUUGGAUACUUAGAUUCAGAUUUUACUGGAUGUGUUGACAGUAGAAAGCCUACUUUUGGCUACCUAUUCCUAUUAAGGGGCAAUUGUCAUGAAAAAGUGUCAAAAGUCUAUUAUUACUUCAUCCACUAUGGAAGUAGAUUUUAUGGCAUGUUUUGAAGCCACAAUUCAUGCAUUAUAGAUGCAGGACUUUAUCUGAGAACUUAGGGUGAUCGACACCAUUAGCAAGCCGCUGAGAAUUUAUUGUGAUAAUUCCGCAGCAGCAUUUUUCUCCAAGAAUGACAAAUAUUCCAAAUGUGUCAAACAUAUGGAAUUAAAGUAUUUUGCCGCUAAGGAAGAAGUUCAGAAAUGGAGAGUGUCUAUUUAGCAUAUUAGUACUGAUCUCAUAAUUGCAAAUCCAUUAUCUAAAAGUUUACAACCUAAAACAUUUAAAAAACAUGUACUUAGAAUGGGUCUUAGUUGUACUAAUUAAUCAUGGAUUGGCUCUGACACUCAGAACUCAUUGAUGUGUUUUCUAACAUAUAUCAAUAGAUUUUCUAUUUUCACGUGAUAUUUUAAGUGAAUGUUAACAGGAAAAGUCUUUUAAGACAUUAUUGUGGACCAUAAUGUGAUAUACAUAUAUCUAUUAUGAACCUACCAUGAUAAGUUGCUAGUGUUGUGGUAUAUGGAAGGAAGUAUGUGAUUAAACGUCUCACACUUAGUGAUUUAUUAUAGGAAGAUAAUUAUGAAGUAUAUUAUGAAAAGGAUUUGUUUAUUUUAUACGCGCCAAAUGUUUAUAUUAUUAAAGUUUAUAUCCCUUAAUUAUUGUGCCAAGUUGAAGAAUGUAAGAUUUUGCCCAGUAAUUAAUAUUACCAUAUAGGCCAAAAUCAAUUCAUUUAAUGUGGCCCAAUAUUAAUUGAUAUUUACUUU
rnacentral:misc_RNA from 1 species